rnacentral:rRNA from 1 species
GCCUCGCCUGUUUACCAAAAACAUCGCCUCUUGUGAUUUUAAAAUAGGAGGUCCAGCCUGCCCAAGGACCAUGUGUUUAACGGCUGCGGUAUUUUAACCGUGCGAAGGUAGCGUGAUCACUUGUCUUUUAAAUGGAGACCCGUAUGAAUGGUUAAACGAGGGCUUAGCUGUCUCCUUUUUCAUGUCAAUGAAAUUGAUUUUUCCGUGCAAAGGCGGGAAUUGUCUCAUAAGACGAGAAGACCCUGUGAAGCUUUAGAUGAUAAAACAGAUUUAGUUGGCGGCUCCCUAAUAAAGGACUGAGUCACACAGUUCCUGUUUUAGCGUCUUCGGUUGGGGCGACCACGGGGAGUUAUAUAACCCCCGCGUGGACUGGGUGCAAGAAUGUUUUUGUUCCUAAAGCCAAGAGCCUCCGCUCCAAUAAACAGAAUUUCUGACCUUGUAAGAUCCGGCAAUGCUGAUCAACGAACCAAGUUACUCCAGGGAUAACAGCGCCAUCCUCUUUCAGAGCCCUUAUCGACAAGAGGGUUUACGACCUCGAUGUUGGAUCAGGACAUCCUAAUGGUGUAGCCGCUAUUAAGGGUUCGUUUGUUCAACGAUUAACAGUCCUACGUGAUCUGAUUCCAGACCGG